rnacentral:rRNA from 1 species
ACGAACGCUGGCGGCAUGCCUAACACAUGCAAGUCGAACGAACCCUUCGGGGUUAGUGGCGCACGGGUGCGUAACGCGUGGGAAUCUGCCCUUUGCUUCGGAAUAACAGUUAGAAAUGACUGCUAAUACCGGAUGAUGUCUUCGGACCAAAGAUUUAUCGGCAAAGGAUGAGCCCGCGUAGGAUUAGGUAGUUGGUGGGGUAAAGGCCUACCAAGCCGACGAUCCUUAGCUGGUCUGAGAGGAUGAUCAGCCACACUGGGACUGAGACACGGCCCAGACUCCUACGGGAGGCAGCAGUGGGGAAUAUUGGACAAUGGGCGAAAGCCUGAUCCAGCAAUGCCGCGUGAGUGAUGAAGGCCUUAGGGUCGUAAAGCUCUUUUACCCGGGAUGAUAAUGACAGUACCGGGAGAAUAAGCCCCGGCUAACUCCGUGCCAGCAGCCGCGGUAAUACGGAGGGGGCUAGCGUUGUUCGGAAUUACUGGGCGUAAAGCGUACGUAGGCGGUUAUUCAAGUCAGAGGUGAAAGCCCGGGGCUCAACCCCGGAACGGCCUUUGAAACUAGGUAGCUAGAGUCUUGGAGAGGUCAGUGGAAUUCCGAGUGUAGAGGUGAAAUUCGUAGAUAUUCGGAAGAACACCAGUGGCGAAGGCGACUGACUGGACAAGUACUGACGCUGAGGUACGAAAGCGUGGGGAGCAAACAGG